UCCCUGGUGGUAUAGCGGCUAAGGAUCCCGCACUAUCACCACCGCGGCCCUGGUUUGAUUCCUGGGCAGGGAA